CCUACGGGAGGCUGCAGUGGGGAAUAUUGGACAAUGGGGGGAACCCUGAUCCAGCCAUGCCGCGUGUGUGAAGAAGGCCCUCGGGUUGUAAAGCACUUUCAGUGAGGAAGAACGCCUGGUGGUUAAUACCCAUCAGGAAAGACAUCACUCACAGAAGAAGCACCGGCUAACUCCGUGCCAGCAGCCGCGGUAAUACGGAGGGUGCGAGCGUUAAUCGGAAUUACUGGGCGUAAAGCGCGCGUAGGUGGCUUGAUGAGCCGGUUGUGAAAGCCCCGGGCUCAACCUGGGAACGGCAUCCGGAACUGUCAAGCUAGAGUGCAGGAGAGGAAGGUAGAAUUCCCGGUGUAGCGGUGAAAUGCGUAGAGAUCGGGAGGAAUACCAGUGGCGAAGGCGGCCUUCUGGACUGACACUGACACUGAGGUGCGAAAGCGUGGGUAGCAAACAGGAUUAGAUACCCGAGUAGUC
rnacentral:rRNA from 1 species